rnacentral:tRNA from 1 species
GGGCACUUGGUCCAGUGGUAAGACGCUCGCAUACAGUGCGAGAAACCCACGUUCGAAUCGUGGAGUGCCCA